rnacentral:rRNA from 1 species
CCUAUGGGGGGCAGCAGUGAGGAAUAUUGGUCAAUGGACGAGAGUCUGAACCAGCCAAGCAGCGUGAAGGAUGACUGCCCUAUGGGUUGUAAACUUCUUUUAUAUAGGAAUAAAAUGUUCCACGUGUGGGAUUCUGUAUGUACCAUAUGAAUAAGCAUCGGCUAACUCCGUGCCAGCAGCCGCGGUAAUACGGAGGAUCCGAGCGUUAUCCGGAUUUAUUGGGUUUAAAGGGUGCGUAGGUGGAUUGUUAAGUCAGUUGUGAAAGUUUGCGGCUCAACCGUAAAAGUGCAGUUGAAACUGGCAGUCUUGAGUACAGUAGAGGUGGGCGGAAUGCGUGGUGUAGCGGUGAAAUGCUUAGAUAUCACGAAGAACUCCGAUUGCGAAGGCAGCUUACUGGACUGCAACUGACGCUGAGGCUCGAAAGUGUGGGUAUCAAACAGGAUUAGAUACCCGAGUAGUC